rfam:Clostridium sp. CAG:169 genomic scaffold, scf100
GCUAGAGUGGCUCAGUCGGUAGAGCAGCUGAUUCGUAAUCAGCAGGUCGUGGGUUCGAUUCCCAUCUCUAGCC